UACAGAGGGUGCAAGCGUUAAUCGGAUUUACUGGGCGUAAAGCGUAUGUAGGUGGUUUGCUAAGUCAGGUGUGAAAUCCCUGGGCUCAACCUAGGAAUUGCAUUUGAUACUGGUAAGCUUGAGUGCGGUAGAGGGUAGUGGAACUCCCGGUGUAGCGGUGAAAUGCGUAGAUAUCGGGAAGAACACCAGUGGCGAAGGCGGCUACCUGGACUGACACUGACACUGAGAUACGAAAGCGUGGGGAGCAAACAGG
rnacentral:rRNA from 1 species